rnacentral:misc_RNA from 1 species
GAAAAAAAAAAGAAAAAGGAAAAGGAACCCAUUUGACGAUACUCACCGACCCUUCUCUGUCUUUCCCUCGCGGAUGCAAUAAUAAAUCGCCAUCGUUAUCCCCUUCCUAUUUUAUUGUUAAGAAAAACAAGUGUAGUUAUGGAAGGGAAUGAAAGCGGCGGUGGUAUUCAAGAGGCUCCCAUAGUUGACGAUCCUAAUCAAUUUGGAGACAACUCCACAGAAGGUGCCGUGUUUGACGCC